GGGAAUGUGACUUAGUGGUAAAGUGCUUGCCUAACAUGCAUGAAGCCCUGGGUUUAAUUCCUCAAUACCA
rfam:Dipodomys ordii contig_7524, whole genome shotgun sequence.